CCUACGGGGGGCAGCAGUGGGGAAUAUUGCACAAUGGGGGAAACCCUGAUGCAGCGACGCCGCGUGAGUGAAGAAGUAAUUCGGUAUGUAAAGCUCUAUCAGCAGGGAAGAAAAUGACGGUAGCUAAGUAAGAAGCAACUGCUAACUACGUGACAGAAGCCGCGGUAAUACGUAGGGGGCAAGCGUUAUCCGGAUUUAAUGGGUGUAAAGGGAGCGUAGACGGCAGUGCAAGUCGGGAGUGAAGGGCGGGGGCUUAACCCACGGACUGCUCUGGAAACUGUACGGCUGGAGUGCAGGAGAGGUAAGUGGAAUUCGUAGUGUAGCGGUGAAAUGCGUAGAUAGUAGGAGGAACACCAGUGGCGAAGGCGGCUUACUGGACUGUAACUGACGUUGAGGCUCGAAAGCGUGGGGAGCAAACAGGAUUAGAUACCCUGGUAGUC
rnacentral:rRNA from 1 species